AUACGAAAGGUGCAAGCGUUGUUCGGAUUUACUGGGCGUAAAGAGAUCGUAGGUGGUUUAUUAAGUCGGAUGUGAAAUCCCGGGGCUCAACCCCGGAACUGCAUUCGAUACUGGUAGACUAGAGUUUGGGAGGGGUAAGCGGAAUUCCGUGUGUAGCAGUGAAAUGCGUAGAUAUACGGAGGAACACCUGAGGCGAAGGCGGCUUACUGGACCAAUACUGACACUGAGGAUCGAAAGCGUGGGUAGCAAACGGGAUUAGAUACCCUAGUAGUCC
rnacentral:rRNA from 1 species